GGGGGAGCAUGAAGCAAUUCUUAAAAGUAGAGAGGAUGCCAAUUCUGGACUCACAUGGAAGGAAUACAAAUCUAUGACAUUUACUCAUAACGUUGUCAAUGAAUCACUUAGGCUGGCUAGUGUUGCUCCGGGGAUAUUGAGAAAAACAAUCCAAGACAUUGAAGUAAAUGGAUAUACAAUUCUAAAAGGCUGGUGUCUUAUGGUGGUUCCUUCUGCCAUUCAACUGAACCCAAACAUUUAUGAGGACCCUCUUAGCUUCAAUCCAUGGAGAUGGCAGGUGUGUUGAAAAAACCCUUGAUACUCAUCACUCAUCACUCACCACUCACCACUCACCAUGCAUGAUCACCCAAUC